AUAACUUCCUGGAACCUGCAGCAAAAACAUGGAUCCAGGAACCUUGGCAGCUGAUCUGAAAAAAGAACCUCAAUCGAUUUUCCUAGAAAUUUAACAAUUGACGUUAAUCGCUAACAGAAUAAUUACUAGAUCGUUGUCCACACAGGAAAAACUGAAAGUUUGACAGUUAUAUUAUAUUAUUUAUAUGUUAUUAAAGUUUAUUAGCGUUGCUUAUUUUUUCGUAAAUCUAAUGUAAAUCACAUCUAGAAAUAGAUCUAAACUUAAUCUGGGAUUUUAAAUUUCGGAAUUUUUGGGUGCCACUAAGUCCGCCCAGCUCUAAUAGGUACC